UACGGAGGGGGCUAGCGUUGUUCGGAAUACUGGGCGUAAAGCGAGUGUAGGCGGUCUCGUAAGUCGGGUGUGAAAGCCCUGGGCUCAACCCAGGAAGUGCACUCGAAACUGCGAGGCUAGAGUACUGGAGAGGUUGGUGGAAUUCUCGGUGUAGAGGUGAAAUUCGUAGAUAUCGAGAGGAACACCGGUGGCGAAGGCGGGUCUCUGGGCCGAAUACUGA
rnacentral:rRNA from 1 species